UACGUAGGGGGCAAGCGUUGUCCGGAUUUAUUGGGCGUAAAGAGCGUGUAGGCGGCUUGGUAGGUCCGCUGUGAAAACUCGAGGCUCAACCUCGAGAUGUCGGCGGAAACCACUUGGCUAGAGUCCGGAAGAGGAGAGUGGAAUUCCUGGUGUAGCGGUGAAAUGCGAAGAUAUCAGGAAGAACACCUAUGGCGAAGGCAGCUCUCUGGGACGGUACUGACGCUGAGACGCGAAAGCGUGGGGAGCGAACAGG
rnacentral:rRNA from 1 species